GGAUGAACGCUAGCUACAGGCUUAACACAUGCAAGUCGAGGGGCAGCAUGGUCUUAGCUUGCUAAGGCCGAUGGCGACCGGCGCACGGGUGAGUAACGCGUAUCCAACCUGCCUUACACUCUUGGACAGCCUUCUGAAAGGGAGAUUAAUACAAGAUGUUAUCAUGAGUAAGCAUUUUCGCAUGAUUAAAGGUUUACCGGUGUAAGAUGGGGAUGCGUUCCAUUAGAUAGUAGGCGGGGUAACGGCCCACCUAGUCUUCGAUGGAUAGGGGUUCUGAGAGGAAGGUCCCCCACAUUGGAACUGAGACACGGUCCAAACUCCUACGGGAGGCAGCAGUGAGGAAUAUUGGUCAAUGGACGAGAGUCUGAACCAGCCAAGUAGCGUGAAGGAUGAAGGUUCUAUGGAUUGUAAACUUCUUUUAUACGGGAAUAAACGAAUCCACGUGUGGAUUUUUGCAUGUACCGUAUGAAUAAGGAUCGGCUAACCCCGUGCCAGCAGCCGCGGUAAUACGGAGGAUCCGAGCGUUAUCCGGAUUUAUUGGGUUUAAAGGGAGCGUAGAUGGGUUGUUAAGUCAGUUGUGAAAGUUUGCGGCUCAACCGUAAAAUUGCAAUUGAUACUGGCAGUCUUGAGUACAGUCGAGGUAGGCGGAAUUCGUGGUGUAGCGGUGAAAUGCUUAGAUAUCACGAAGAACUCCGAUUGCGAAGGCAGCUUACUAACCUGUAACUGACAUUGAUGCUCGAAAGUGUGGGUAUCAAACAGGAUUAGAUACCCUGGUAGUCCACACGGUAAACGAUGAAUACUCGCUGUAGGCGAUAUACAGUCUGCGGCCAAGCGAAAGCAUUAAGUAUUCCACCUGGGGAGUACGCCGGCAACGGUGAAACUCAAAGGAAUUGACGGGGGCCCGCACAAGCGGAGGAACAUGUGGUUUAAUUCGAUGAUACGCGAGGAACCUUACCCGGGCUUAAAUUGCAACCGAAUAUGGCGGAAACGCUAUAGCUAGCAAUAGCGGUUGUGAAGGUGCUGCAUGGUUGUCGUCAGCUCGUGCCGUGAGGUGUCGGCUUAAGUGCCAUAACGAGCGCAACCCUUGCCGAUAGUUACUAACAGGUCAUGCUGAGGACUCUGUCGGGACUGCCAUCGUAAGAUGUGAGGAAGGUGGGGAUGACGUCAAAUCAGCACGGCCCUUACGUCCGGGGCUACACACGUGUUACAAUGGGGGGUACAGAGGGCUGCUACCACGCAAGUGGAUGCCAAUCCCAAAAACCUCUCUCAGUUCGGAUUGAAGUCUGCAACCCGACUUCAUGAAGCUGGAUUCGCUAGUAAUCGCGCAUCAGCCACGGCGCGGUGAAUACGUUCCCGGGCCUUGUACACACCGCCCGUCAAGCCAUGGGAGCCGGGGGUACCUGAAGUGCGUAACCGCAAGGAGCGCCCUAGGGUAAAACUGGUGACUGGGGCUAAG
rnacentral:rRNA from 1 species